GGAUCUCACCUACCACAAUUCCAAUUCCAGACACAACAGAUGGCAGGAUCUCACCUACCACAAUUCCAAUUCCAGAGACAACAGAUGACAGCCUUUUUGGAUUCUCUCCUGGUAUGAUGGCCUCUCCUUUCCUCACACUCCUGCUAGCGCUGCUGCUUUUGAUACCCUGAUGUGUAUUUCAUCCACAUCUGGAAUCUUUACAUGAGCAGCACAAUUGACGCUGCCAGAUUACUUUUUGUUAUUUUUGGAUUUUGCUUCUGUAUGACCUGAUAACUAUCUGUUCCUUUUUGAUUUAUUAUAGAUGUUUCUAAUAUAAUGAUUUGCUUUUUUGGUGGUGAAACCUUUCAUUGUGGUUGUUGGUUUAAUAAUAAUCAUUUGCAACAAUGUUUUCAUUUUGUGUAUACAAUAUAGCGACUAAAAUAAAGCAAGCAAAAAAUAUGUAAAAUAUGUGUAGCUUUUAAACUGCUUUUGACCAAUAUCAAUUUAUAAUCAUAUGACAGUUUUGUUUACUGCAGUUUUCAAUCAUGUGCAGUCCACAUAGUUUGAAGUUACUAUAAUAUAGUGUGUGUGUGGGGGGGGACUAUACUACUAUGAUUAGCAACAGUGUGCCUUCUUGGAUGUUGGCGUACCGAUG